rnacentral:rRNA from 1 species
GGGUGGGAACUCAAAGGAGACUGCCGGUGAUACACUGGAGGAAGGUGGGGAUGACGUCAAGUCAUCAUGGCCCUUACGAGUAGGGCUACACACGUGCUACAAUGGCGUAUACAGAGGGAGGCGAGCCUGCGAGGGUAAGCGAAGCUCAGAAAGUACGUCUAAGUCCGGAUUGGAGUCUGGAACUCGACUCCAUGAAGUCGGAAUCGCUAGUUAUCGCGGAUCAGAAUGUCGCGGUGAAUACGUUCCCGGGCCUUGUACACACCGCCCGUCACACCAUGGGAGUGGGUUGUACCAGAAGUAGAUAGCUUAACC